rnacentral:rRNA from 1 species
UACGGAGGGUGCAAGCGUUAUCCGGAUUCACUGGGUUUAAAGGGUGCGUAGGUGGGUUGGUAAGUCAGUGGUGAAAUCUCUAGGCUUAACCUGGAAACUGCCAUUGAUACUAUCAGUCUUGAAUAUUGUGGAGGUGAGCGGAAUAUGUCAUGUAGCGGUGAAAUGCUUAGAUAUGACAUAGAACACCAAUUGCGAAGGCAGCUCACUACACAAUCAUUGACGCUGAGGCACGAAAGCGUGGGGAUCAAACAGG